AGUUGAUUAGCUUAUAAGUAAAGCAUAUAUUUUGAAAAUAUAAGAAAGAUAAAUAAUUUAUUAGCUU
rnacentral:tRNA from 1 species